GAGCUACUCCCUCCGUUCGGAAUUACUUGUCAUAGAAAUGGAUGUAUCUAGACAUUUUUUAGUUCUAGAUACAUCAAUUUCUGCGACAAGUAAUUCGGGAUGGAGGGAGUAUAAG
rnacentral:pre_miRNA from 1 species